rnacentral:lncRNA from 1 species
ACUCUGGUUUCAGCUCAGGGAUACACACAGUGGACUUUUGGCCUCCAGCACUAUGAACUGAGCUCAGUCCAUGGGGUUUACACAGCAAGCAUUUUACCAACGGAUCCAUGUGGCUUGUGCCAAGUCCCCAUCAACACUGCUGAGUUGCUGUAAUACUCAAACCAGUUCAGAGCCUCAUUUCUUUUGCUUCAUUAUCCUGGAAAAUGCCUGUCAUGUGAGGCCCUGAAGCAUCUGCGAGGAAAACCUCAGAAAGAGAUUGCCUUUCCUUUCCUGUCUUCUGAUAUGUGAGCUAAGUCAGCAACACCAGUGACAACAGCCUGACCUUGGACCUUUAGAACAGGUCUCAUUGUGUAGACAUGGAUGGCCUGAAAUUCACUUUGUAGACAACAUUGGCCUUGAACUUAUGGCAAUCCUCCUGCCUCUGCCUGCUGAGUCCUAGUGUUACAGGUAUGUGCCACUAUGCCAGUACACCUGGUUUUCCUUAAACACUCCUCCAGUUGCAUUCCAUGCAUUGUGUUGUGAUAUCUUCAUUAUACACCAAUUUUUGUUUCUUUGGGUCAAAUGUAUAUAUGUCUUACUGGGUUUCCAAAUAUUUGUGUAUUUUUCAAGCUCAAAUACCUCACCCUUUUUCCUACACAUUGGCAAGAAAUUCUGCUUUUCACCUGAAAAAAUGUUCAACAUCCUUAAUCAUCAGGGAAAUGCAAAUCAAAACAACCCUGAGAUUCCACCUCACA